rnacentral:rRNA from 1 species
GACGAACGCUGGCGGCGUGCUUAACACAUGCAAGUCGAACGGAAAGGCCCCUUUGGGGGUACUCGUGUGGCGAACGGGCGAGUAACACGGGAGUAACCUGCCCUUGACUUCGGGAAAACUUCAGGAAACAGGGUCCAAUACCAGAUAGGAAUCCUUGCGGCAUGCUGGGGGGUGGAAAGCAUCGGCGGUUUUGGAUGUACCCGCUGCAUAGCAUCGCGUUGGUGGGGCAGUGGCUUACCAAGGCUUUGACGGGUGGCCGGCCUGAGCGGGCGACCGGCGACAUUGGGAAUGAGACUCGGCCCAGCCUCCUACGGGAGGCAGCAGUGGGGAAUAUUGCCCAAUGGGCGGAAGCCUGAGGCAGCAACGCCGCGUGCGGGAUGACGGCCUUCGGGUUGUAAGCCGCUUUCAGCAGGGGCGAAGCUUGUGGUGACGGUACCUGAAGAAGAAGCACCGGCUAACUCCGUG